AAGUCGUAACAAGGUUUCCGUAGGUGAACCUGCGGAAGGAUCAUUACAUGGUUGGUUGGUUGGGGGGAAAGGUUAUAAUGACUGAACCCCCCUCUCCACAUUCGCGCUUGUCUUGUUUCACAGAGUAACAACUAUAAAAACAAUGAUAACUUUUAACAAUGGAUCUCUGGGCUCUU
rnacentral:misc_RNA from 1 species